UAAAGAACCUACCUUAUAGACAGGGACAACUAUUGGAAACGAUAGCUAAUACCUGAUAAGAAAGAAACUCGCAUGAGAGAAGUUCGAAAGUCGGAGCAAUCUGACACUAUAAGAUGGCUUUGCGGUGCAUUAGCUAGUUGGUAGGGUAAAAGCCUACCAAGGCUACGAUGCAUAGCCGACCUGAGAGGGUGAUCGGCCACAUUGGGACUGAGACACGGCCCAGACUCCUACGGGAGGCAGCAGCA
rnacentral:rRNA from 1 species